UUGCGAAACCCGCCCGGCCUAGCCGGGCGCGGUCAUCAGGGAGUGGCGGCCCUGGUCUGAUGAGCAGCCAGUU
rnacentral:hammerhead_ribozyme from 1 species